AGAAGGGCCGGGGGCAUUGGUAUACCGACUCACUAUAGGAGGCGAAUUGAGGCCCGACGUCGGCAGGUCCCCGCCGCCAUGGCGGGCGCGGGAAUUCUAUUGGGAGUUUGAUCCUGGCUCAGAAUCAACGCUGGCGGCGUGCCUAACACAUGCAAGUCGAACGCGAAAGCCUCCUUCGGGGGGCGAGUAGAGUGGCGCACGGGUGAGUAACACGUGGGUAAUCUGCCUCGGGGUGGGGAAUAACGGCCCGAAAGGGUCGCUAAUACCGCAUAACGCAGCGGCACCGCAUGGUGACAGUUGUUAAAGCGGGGGAUUCCGAAAGGGACCUCGCGCCCGGAGAGGAGCCCGCGCCCGAUUAGCUCGUUGGUGAGGUAACGGCUCACCAAGGCUCCGAUCGGUAGCCGGCCUGAGAGGGCGGCCGGCCACACUGGCACUGAGACACGGGCCAGACUCCUACGGGAGGCAGCAGUGGGGAAUUUUGGGCAAUGGGCGAAAGCCUGACCCAGCAACGCCGCGUGGAGGACGAAAUCCCUCCGGGAUGUAAACUCCGAAAGUCAGGGAAGAAAUCCGUGCGGGGAAUAUCCGUACGGGAUGACGGUACCUGAUAUAAGCCCCGGCUAACUACGUGCCAGCAGCCGCGGUAAUACGUAGGGGGCAAGCGUUGUUCGGAAUUACUGGGCGUAAAGGGCGCGUAGGCGGCACGGCAAGUCGGGAGUGAAAGCCCGGGGCUCAACCCCGGAGGGUCUUCCGAAACUGCCGGGCUAGAGUGCGGAAGAGGCAACCGGAAUUCCCAGUGUAGCGGUGAAAUGCGUAGAUAUUGGGAAGAACACCAGAGGCGAAGGCGGGUUGCUGGGCCGACACUGACGCUGAGGCGCGAAGCCAGGGGAGCAACGGGAUAGAUACCCUGGUAGUCCCCCCGUAAACGAUGUGCGCUGGAUGUUGGGUUCCCUAGGGCCCCGUGUCCAGCCCACGCGGAAGCGCCCGCCUGGGGAGACGGCCCCAGGUUGAACUCAAAGGAUUGACGGGGCCCCACAGCCGUGGACAUGUGGUUAAUUCAAACACCCCCAAACCUUACCCCCCUUACUUG
rnacentral:rRNA from 1 species